GCGAGUGAAGCGGCAAAAGCUCAAGUUUGAAACCUUCGGGGUUGUAUCAGGAGGCUUGUUGACUGGUAAAGUUCCUUGGAAUAGGACGCCACAGAGGGUGAUAGCCCCGUACCUCCAACGUAUAAGCCCCCGGCGAGUCGAGUUGUUUGGGAAUGCAGCUCCAACGGUGGUAAAAUCCAUCCAAAGCUAAAUAUUGGCGAGAGACCGAUAGCGAACAAGUACAGUGAUGGAAAGAUGAAAAGCACUUUGAAAAGAGAGUGAAAAAGUAUGUGAAAUUGUUGAGAGGGAAGGGAAUCCUUCUUAGGAAGGCUUCCACCC
rnacentral:rRNA from 1 species